GCCCUACUAGCUCAGUCGGUAGUGCAUGAGACUCUUAAUGUCAGGGUCGUGGGUUCAAACCCCACGUUGGGCG
rnacentral:tRNA from 1 species